rnacentral:rRNA from 1 species
CCUACGGGAGGCAGCAGUGAGGAAUAUUGGUCAAUGGACGAGAGUCUGAACCAGCCAAGUAGCGUGAAGGAUGACUGCCCUAUGGGUUGUAAACUUCUUUUAUAUGGGAAUAAAAUGUUCCACGUGUGGGAUUUUGUAUGUACCAUAUGAAUAAGGAUCGGCUAACUCCGUGCCAGCAGCCGCGGUAAUAUGGAGGAUCCGAGCGUUAUCCGGAUUUAUUGGGUUUAAAGGGAGCGUAGGUGGAUUGUUAAGUCAGUUGUGAAAGUUUGCGGCUCAACCGUAAAAUUGCAGUUGAAACUGGCAGUCUUGAGUACAGUAGAGGUGGGCGGAAUUCGUGGUGUAGCGGUGAAAUGCGUAGAUAUCAGGAGGAACACCGGUGGCGAAGGCGGCUUACUGGACCAUAACUGACGUUGAGGCUCGAAAGCGUGGGGAGCGAACAGGAUUAGAUACCCCAGUAGUC